rnacentral:rRNA from 1 species
UGGGGAAUAUUGGACAAUGGGCGCAAGCUGAUCCAGCAAUGCCGCGUGUGUGAAGAAGGCCUGCGGGUUGUAAAGCACUUUAAGCGGGGAAGAAAGGUGGGGUGUUAAUACCGCCUCACAUUGACGUUACCUGCAGAAUAAGCACCGGCUAACUCCGUGCCAGCWG